ensembl:lncRNA
CCUUAUUGUACUACAUCAGUUUGUCAGUAGCAACAAAUGCAUGACUAAAGUUGGGUACCUCAUCAGAUUAGAGAAGAGUGCUCAAGCAGAGAAUGAUGAAAUGUCUUAAAUGACAUUGUGUAUCACCGGACAGACCACGCACAGGACUCAACGUUAAUGGACAGUAUGCUCUUUCUGCCAUCAGGAAUGGUAUGCUACCUGGACUGCAGGUUCUUUGCAAGCUUUGUGGAAUUUUACUUAAAGAAAUAUUUCAAGCAGGAUAUUUUAGCAAGGUAAAAUAAAGGAAGUAAUUAAUAUCAGGUUAAAAAUGAAAAAGAUACAGACAUUCAUAGAUAUUAAUUUGCACUCAAGCUAUUACAAAACUUUUCCACCUUUAUUGCAAGAAUGAACUUAAGCAAAAAAUUUCUGCAAUUUACUAGCAGCAGUUAAGCAUAAGUAUAAAAUAUUUAUUUUGAGAAUAAGGUACAGAAGACAACAUGGCAAACCCUUGAAUAUAUUUCAAUAAAGAGUAAAGAGCUAAUUUGUUCCUGACAUGCUUUUCUGAGAGAAGUUUUUACUGGAAUUGCAUUCUAACACAUCAAGAAUCUGUGCAAGUGACAGGAAAAAAUGGAUUAGUGUAUUCACAAAAACCUUUCCAAGAAUCAAUUUAAUAUCUCAGUAGAUGAUGAGGAAAUUCUCUUUUUAAGGAAAGAUGCCUAUUCCACACAACUUCAAGUUUAUGUACACUUUGUAUGAUCAGAAUUCUGUCUCACUGUUGUUUACUUUCAUAACACAUGCACUACAGAGGAAGUAUAUCCAGGCAUAGCCUUAAAUACAGAAUAAUAUUUAUCAUAGGAAGCAUGAAUUUUUGUAGUUCUUAUCAUUAAAGGGAUGUUCCCAUGUAUACAUUUUUCUAUUUCUUCAUGGCAAAGGUACAUGAUAUAAGUUAUAAAAUUUAAUAUAUCCCAGUUGUAGUAAUUAAUUCCAUCAUUUUUCCUAGAAGAUGAGGGGAAAAAAAUACAGAGAUCUCCAAAUGUUUUUGCAUACAACCAGGGGAAGCAUUAUAUAUGCUAACUUACACAAACCUUUGACAGUAAUUCUACUUGAUCUCUUCUGAGUAAAUGUUCUUCCAACACUUCUUGUACCUAGGAAAAGAAAGCUAACACGUGAAACUGUAAUUGUUAAGACCUGAUGACCCAAAUAUGUUCCCUUCUUUUGGAGGGGCUUUUUGGCGUUCAAAUUAUUUUUUCACCAUAUGAAAGUCAACAGCUCCUAUCUACAAAACAUUUCAGGAAGUAUGUCAAAAUAUUGGGAGCUUGAUCCUAAAAACACCACUCUGUUAAGAUCAGUCUAAUUAUUCAUAUGAGGGAAGUUACUCACAUGUGUUAGUAUUUGCUUAGCAGACCCUUGACCUGUGGCUUUCCAGAAAGACAACGCAGUUGUCAUAAUUUCACGAUAUAAAUAGACACUAUUAAAAGACCCAAAAUAACAACAUAGAUUUACUGGAAUAAAAACAAAGCUUCAUAAAUGUUUAUAGAUGUCACAAAAAAAAGGGCAACUUCAAGUUCAUGUGAGCUCUGCACAUUUGUUGUUUGAGGUCCAAGUUCACAGGUUGCAGUCCUUCUUGAGAAGUGCCUGCCAACACAUGUAUGCAUAUUUCAGCAUCAGUUUGAUCCUCCUUUUAAAAACAAACUGUGUUUAGUUGCACAAUGAAAAUGAAAAACAAAUUAAACCAGAAUUAAUACUCCCUGAGGAAUGAAAACCAGCUAUGGAAAUUGCGUACAAACUUUUAAUUAUUGUUUUACUGUAGCUUGUAAAACUUUCAAAAGCCAAAUUAACAUUUAAUAAAGAAGUGGGUGGGUGACUACAUCUUGAAGCCCCCAAACACAAUAAACAAAGCAGAUCACAAAUACGGUGCCUUUCUCCGUUCCAAAAUAGUGUUCUUUGUGUUAUUGUCUUCAGUGAGGCAUGGAGGGUUUAGAUGAAAUUCUUGCCAUAUUGAAAUCAGUGGUAAAAAUCCUAUUUACAUUGAGCCAAAAUUUCAUCCUCUGUGUUAAAUUAAAAAAGAGAUGGGGUGGGAGUGGGUGAGGGAGAAGAUAAUGACUGAACUGUCCCACAGCACAAAAAGGAGAGCUUGCUGUGGGCAGCAGCCUCUGGCUGGCCAUCCUGUCUGCUCCCCAGGCUCACCCCUGCUCCACAGUGAGUGACUUUGGUCCCUGCUUUUGCUGUGUGGCCCAGAGCCUUACACAACCAUGGCAGCCACUCCACCCACUCACUGGCCCAAGGGCUUCAACCAGCAGCAACUUGUCUUUGCAAAUGUGCUUUUCUAGCUUGGGAGAUCUAAAGAGGGAGGAGUACCCUAAUGAAGAGAUUUACUGAACGUGCAAGUACUUGGCGAACUGUGCUAGACGACCUCAAUCUGUCAGGCUGAAAGUCACCCUCAAGCCCCAGGAUGCAUUUAGUUUGCUCCUGACCAUUGGAUGCACAAUAGGGGUGGCUCAAAAAUAUUUUAGAGUGCUAGUGUGUCUGUUCUCCUUGUUUAACUGGAAAAAAAAAAAAAAAAAACCUCCUCUGAAGAACCUCCUUCACAUUCGUCUCACAUGGAAAGCAGUGGGAGAGAAAUGUCAUUAUAACAUCUGUUAUGGAAACACGCUGCUCUAUGUACAAAAGGGCCUUGGAGAAACUUGGACAGAGGUGUGUUUUCUGUCUGCUUGAAGUUGAGGGAUGAGUUUUAUUCUCCUUACAGGCAUAACUCUCCAGAAGACAGGGCAUUGUGAACAUGAACAAGCUAAUCUGAUGUGACAGAUCUACAAAGGAGUUCAGCAAGAAGUCAAUGAAGAAAAAAGCCCGUUAUUAAAGAGAGAAGCUGACAAAAAAUAAAAAACAGAAAACAAAAAGCAAAGCACAACAAUAACACAAAGCCAUUAUAUGAAACAACUCAUCUACUUGAGUGAGAUUUCUUUCAUGGAGCCUCUGAACAUUGCUUUUCCUGGUGUAAUAAAUUAGGUGUGUACUUAUUACUUGGAAGUGUUCCUUAUUCCUACGUUUCUUCUGAUAAAAGAAGAGAAACCUUAAAGAAACAGCUGCAAAUGGAAUAAAUUAGGAAUGAGUUUCAGAAAUUUCUGGAGUUGCCCUCAUGAACUAGAGUGGAAGUCCUAUUCCCAUUGUUUUAUUAAGGUAUGCAGGAAAACCACCUACGUUUAAUAAAGAAGACAUGGGAGUGCUAAAUUUGUCCCAGAUUUGAUUACAGAUCACCAUGAUAUUAAAUGUCAAAGGGACUUUGAUGAAAUUCUUUCAAAAGACUAUUGAGCAAUAUAUUUUUCUUCACAUUAGUGUAUACUUCUCUUUUACUAGGAAAUAUGUAUGUAUACCAUUGCUCUGAUUAUAUGCACGCAUAGAUGAACUCUUGUAUCUAUGCAUUUAUUUCCAGCAAAAUGUUCUAAAAUCCUUGUUUGACAGAAACCCUUAAAAUCCAUGAAUUUAUGUCAGUGUUAAUGUUGUAUGAGAACAACCCAUUGUUUGGCUACUAGCUUACGUAAGUUGUAGCUGUCCACAACUUUUUUUGUGUGUUGUGGGUUGUUUCACUUUUAAACAAUAGCUCUGUGUCUAACAGUGUGUUCCUUAAGCUAGUACAUUGCUUUAUAGCCCUUGGAACCUGUCAGAUGUAUCUUAGUUCAGAAGUAUUUCAACAUUUUCUUGUGGUAGUGGAUAUACUAAGGAAUGGAAAAUGUAGAAACAUAACUUGUGCCAUCCUAUUUUGGAGUUCAAUUUCUUGCAGGCAGAAAGAGAACUUGUGACAUGAGCUGAUUUUUUGAAAAGUUGUUCACAAACAUUAAUCUUCUCAUUUAUGAGUGAAACUUCCAGCAAGAGGAAGAUAAUAUCUCCCUUAAUCAAAUUUGCAUAUGACUCAAUGUAUUAAAUGUGUAGAGUUAUUUAAAACUGACAAAAAUAUUUUUCAUGAGUUUCAUUUAUGAAUUACAGUCCUGAAAAUCAUGUUGGUGAUUACUAAGAGCAUAUUUACAGGAUUUACUAUAUGAAUGUAGGAAAAUAAAUAAGGUUUGUUGUAUGGUACAGAUAAAUAAAUAUAUUCUAAUAAGCAAGCAGCAAGGAUGUUUUCUUUCUGCACAGUAACAAUCUCAAAAACAAGAGCCUGGGAAAUUUAUGGAAAAGGGCCCUUCAGAAAAAAAAAAAUGUCAAGUUAAAAUUUAGAGCUUUUGUCAUACACCAUAGCAGAAUAAAAAGGUUUGCCUAGGAGCUGAUACAUGCCUGUAGGGAUUAUUCAGCAUACCUCUUCAUCUGCUCUUUUUUAAUCAGAGUGAAAUUAAAUCUUCUGCUAAUCAGUAUAAGACUCAACUGGAGCCUGAUCUGAGCACUUGCAUGACCUCACCAUGUUUCCUAGGGAAGAAAUUCUCUGAUGGCUCUACAACAAAAUUCCUAAGUAGGGCCACAGCUGCACCUGACCCGGGUUCCCCUGCCUUCUUUUGCUCUUCCAUCCCGAUCACGAUGAUGUGGGCCAGCACUUGGGACCUCAUCACUGGUGAUGGGAUAUAGUUGGAAAUUUUUGUGUGUACCAGGGCUUUCUGUCGGGAAGAUUUUCAGCACCUUUCUCUGAUUUCCUAAGUCACAUACCUACAGAGGAGUGCCACACUCUGAUGUAUGCAACUGUUAACUCACGAACCCCACUGCCCUUUAUGUUUACUAUUCCUUGGAAACAAGCUCUUGAAUAAUCUGUCAUGGUUCAUCAGCACACUGGGCUUACCCAUGGAAAAAAAAAAAAAAAAAAAAAAAAAGGGCUCUUGGCCACAUGAGAAAGCCAAGUUGCCCAGGAUGAGAACUUCUCCCUCUUUCCUUCUGCCUUGCUUCUGGCUCCAGGACAGCUCCCAUUGGAACAAAAGCCUCUCCAUGGUCCAUUGCCUACCUUGAUCCCCCAGGAAAGGCCAAGCUGAUCCCUUCAGAGAGGCAACUGGACAUUCUGGAACUUGACUGGCCAUAAAGUAUGCCCACUUGAAGCCAGCAACCCAUAAAACUGAGGCUGCCUUGGUACUGGAAGCAAGUAUUGGAAACUACAGCAAUAUCUGUGGAAAGGCUUUUCAAUCUCCUAGCUCCCCCUUCCCUCCAAACCCUGAGGUUUAGAAAGAGCCACAGGUUGGUAAUGAUGAAUGGCAGCUAAUCUCUCUACACCUCAUAAAUCCACACCUGCCUGCCUCACAGGUAAGAUCCUGAUGUUGUCCUCCCACCAAUAGUCUUGCUUUGGAAGAAUUAAGGAUGGAGGAUCAUGUUUUUAAAACCCACAGGUAACCUGAGGGCCACAGGCAUGGAAAGUGCCUCCCACUGAUACAGGAAUUACUCUGUUCAUUUUGUCACAAGUUCCAUACACAUUCCAAAGCUUGAAACAUAUUUGCCUUGAACUUUUCUUCCUCCAAAUUAGCAAAGGCUUUUGUAUAAGCAUUCUCAACCUGAUUCAGCAAGUAAUUAACCAUCUACCUUAAGGCCUUCUAAAUCAAGGACUUUGUGCUGAUGGAAAAGCAUUGUAAGCACCUGUGUUAAUUUUAACUUACUGUGCACAUCAGCAUUUCUUUCAUGGUUUCUCAGUCAUAAAGGCCAUUAGCUUUUAUGUUUUCAAUGCUAUGGCCGGUUCCAAAGGUACUAAAAUAUUUCUCCAAAGAGCAGUAUCAUAAGGAGCACAAAGCAUAUCUUUGUGUCUUGUUAAGUCCAAGACUGUAAUUUGGCUAAUCAGGAGCUUGUAAGUGCUAAAGCAGCUGGCAGUGUUCAUAUAUAUACAGUCAUAACCCAGCCUAAUACAGGCUAGAUGACAUACAUAUUCAGUAAAUUGCAUAUAAUCAAUGAAAUUGGCUGUGAUGUAAGACAUUGCCUGUUAUGAUAAACUAAGAGGUAUUAAAAGGCACCAAAUAUUCAUUAUUCAUACACACUGAUAGUACAAGGGAGAUGGAGUAUUAGAUUUUGGAAACAAAACAAACAACUUAUAUCAUAAUAAAAGAGGUUGAAAGAAGUUAGCAUGAGACAGACGAUUCAUUUGAUUUAAGUAUGUAAAUUGAAUUAUUGUAUGAGUCAUACUAAAAGAGACAAAUAGCCUUUUCUGGUUGCUUUAAAGAAAUAAUAUUUAUGUCACAUUCCAUGAGGUAUACAAACUCUAAAUAAUGCAACUAGUACUGAGAUCUUAUAUAUUUCUCUAAAAAAAAUAUUGUAUAUCCAAAGAAGGGUAGCUUUGUUUAAUGAAACAUAUCACCGUGUCUGGCAUAUAGAGAGCCACCUACUUGGGUAUCUAGAUAUGGUUUGCAUUAAAACUACCUCACAAAUGGAAUUAUCCAAACUUACAGAGCUGGAAGUACACAGUAUGCUAGAAGCACAUGCUUGUCAGAGAGUGAAGAUCUGCAUUUGGUAUUUCCUUAAGCCUUCUCAGCAGUAUGUGUGUCAGGCAUUUGUGGGUUUUAUUGUUCACUGCAUCUGAUUCACUAUGGUAAGGGUGGUAAGUUGGGCUGCUCAAAAAAAGGGCUGUUUUGUUUGGUUGGUUGAUUGGUCUUCUUUUCUUUUCUCUUCUUUUCUUUUCUUUUCUUUUCUUUUCUUUUCUUUUCUUUUCUUUUCUUUUCUUUUCUUUUCUUUUCUUUUCUUUUCUUUUCUUUUCUUUUCUUUUCUUUUCUUUUCUUUUCUUUUCUUUUCUUUUCUUUUCUUUUCUUUUCUCUUUUUCUUUUUUCUUCUUUUCUUUUCCUUUUUCUUUUUAUUUUUUCUUCUUUUUUCUUUUUUUUUGUUUGGUUUUAAAAUAAAAUUUGAAACAAGUUAGUGCCCUCAGUGUUUUCUUUCUUUAAGCUCUUAUUUCUAUUUUACAUUUCAAAAUUUUAGUUUAAUAGGAAUCUGCAAAAAAAUGCAAAGAAAAUUAUCUUCAAAAAUUGGUUUUGGCAUCAUUUGUUUCCAUGGGACAAUAAUCAGGAACCUUCUUUUAGGCUAUUUGAAUAAUUAGCAUUCCUUACUGAGUGAAUCCAUGUAAAUAAAAAUACUGGUGAUGCCAAGUCUGCCCUCUGCAGUCACACAGCUAAUAUACCUAUCUGUAUCUACCUGUUCUUGAAUAAUAUGCAGUCCUGUUAGCUGGCAUAUGAAGGUGUCAAUAAUUUUGAAUGUUUAAAUAAUACUGAGAUAAAUAACUGAGGGACAAAUCUGAAGCACUGGUGACAAAAUAAUAUUCUCAUUCAAAUGAGGCUGAGAGAGUUGGGGUUCUUCAGCCUGAAGAAGAGAAGUCUCCAGGAGGACCUUAUAGUGGCCUUCCAGUACCUGAAGGGAGCCUAUAGGAAAGCUAGGGAAAGACUUUUUAUAAAAGCACGUAGCAACAGGAUGAGGGGAAAUGACUUUAAACUGGAAGAAGGUAGUUUUAUACUGGAUAUUAGGAAGAAAUUAUUUACUGUGAGGGUGGUGAGACACUGGAACAGGUUGCCCAGCAAGGUUGUGGAUGCCUCCUUUCUGUAGGCAUUGAGGCCAGGCUGGAUGGGGCUUUGAGCACCUGGUUAGUGGGAGGUGUCCCUGCUUACAUCAGGGAGCUUGGAACUAGAUGAUCUUAUUGGUCCCUUCCAACCCAAACCAUUCUAUGAUUCUAUGAAAUAAAACUAUCUAUUUAUAAUAGUCUUACUGUAGUCCUAAAUGCAUUAUGUUAUUUCUCUGCAACAAACCUGGAUCCAAGCCUUACUCUAAACUACACAUAUGUCUUGUAUGAUCAUGCUGUCCUGUAAAUUCAUUUUUCUGAUCCUUUUUGCACACGAUCUAAAGGGUGGAAGGGCAUCAUUGUCACAGUCUCCUUUAGACAGCCUUAUAGAUAGCCUUAGAAUUCAAUUUGAAGACUACUAGAAAAUAAAUUUAAAAAAAAAUCAAAACAAUUGAACAAGUAUUUAAUUACUGUGAUAAAAAUCAUGUGUUUCAUCAGCUGUAAACAAUGAUAAUCAUAUUUGUUACUAUGAAAAAUGAUGUAAACAUUUUGGAUUUUGAGAAUGCCCAAAAAUUAAAGUCCUGUUACAUUAUGAUUAAUUGAUUCACGGUGGUUCUUGUUGAGUAAUUUUAUGCUUAAUGGGAGUCCUUCCAUUCCAUUUGUUAUCCAUUCUCCUUUCAUAGGAACUAUUAUGGUCUCAGGUGCAAAUUUAAACUGUCUGUCAUAAAAUAUAGAUCUUUUAAAAAAAUAAAAGUUAUCUCCAAGAUUUAUGAACACUUUCUCUUAAAAAAAAAACACAGUUUCAAUGAAUUCAGAUUGAUUUAUGUUUUUCCAAAAGAAAAAUCUGCUCCAGUGAAUUCAUACUUUUUGCCUACCUGUGAGAACCAGAAGAAGUAAUCAGGAUAACCUGUUAAGAACUACAUGGUAUAUGUGUCACCUCUCCAUAAGUCUGUACGCCAGUGUGAAGUAUGUCCCAUAGAUAUUUAAUAGUCAUACCAUUCCCUGUUUGUUGCAGCCAAAAACCAAUCAGAAGACUAUUGUUGGUUUGUAAUUCAUUAAGGGAGGGAUGCCUGAAGUCAUUACAGUGAAUGCAUAUUGGCCAGGAACCAUAUUUAUUUUUUGCAAAUUUCAUCUUGUCAAGCUGCAUCAGGACACAUUUUGUUAUUACUAAAUUAUCCUUUAUGACAGCUGAUAUGAUCACAGCAUUACACAAUGUGGACUGAACAAUGACAUGCAAUAGAUUGAAAUACAACAGAAAAAGUGGGCUUUGUGUAAAAAAAAUACAAUUUUUUUCUGAAUAUGAAUGUGAAAGGAUACCAAAUGAAAUGUUUGCCUGUAAUUUGUAAUUUGCACUAAAUUGAGAUCUUCUGUCCUCCCCACACAUUGCAUGAAUGCACACAAUAUACCACCAAGACAAAGGUUGCUUCUGACCCUGCAUAUACUAUGAUAAUCCAUGUAAGUGGAGAAGCCACAGAAACUUCCAGUCCAACAGCAGCUACACCUAGAAACACGCUACAGGUCUUCAGAGGUCUAUAUAGAAAAUGAAAUUUAUGGUUGCAAAUGAACUGAGGGAGCCUUUGUUUUCUUUGCAACAAUUAGAACUGAAAUGGCGGGAUCCAGUGAGUUCCUUGAAACCGUACUUUACCCAUGAUUUUUGAGCUAUACGCACGCACAGCCACUUGGGAAGAAAGGUGGCUCCACUAAGCAGCACCCACACUACUCAAGUAGGUCCUGUCCUGCUCUUGCAAACUCACCACUGUCUCGUGCCUAAGAUGGAGGACAACACCGGAAAAGUGCAGAUGCAAUUCUUCCAAAAUUUUGCAGGGGAUGCAAAUACUCAUAGCCCAUAAGACACUCAGCUAUUGCUAUCAUUCCUUUCUCCUUGUGCAUAAUUUGUCCUUGCUGGCAUAUGAUAACUGGUGUAAUAUGUAAUAUGAUCUACUUUACAUUGGCUAUUGAUGCCUGACUUGCAGUCACUGAACUGGUAUGUGACUGUUCCUUGUUCACACCGGGAGCCCACGCCUUUCUUAGGCAUUCAUUUGCACUAGCUCUUGCAAACUUUACUCCAUAAAAGCAAAGUUGCUUGAAGAGCAUCAUUUUUCAAUGUGAUAUGUGCGAUUUAUAUGGUGUACAGUUGAUGAAAUGCAUAAUUUUAGUCACAUUAAUUAAAUACUGGCUCAAUUCUCCUCUGGGAGCCAUUAAAUGGAAUCUUAAGUCUGUACGAAAGAGGCCAUCUCACAGCAGUACCUGUUUUUGCAUCUGACAGAGUUUGUCACAGUUAGGACUGAGCCUUUUUGGAAGUGGUUCAGCUAUGUCUGUGCUUGUACCAGACCACCCGAACAAGAAAGCAUUCCUCCUCUCACCUCUGAAGAGCCACAGCCCCUCAAAAGGAGAAGGAAGGCCUUGUUUGCCCCAUCCUUGAAUUGUUCUCGAGCUUGGUGUGAGGGGAAGCAAAGCUAUGACUUUCAGGGGCAACAGCAAUGUGAUCCCUGCUUUCUCUCCUGUCAGACGACACACUCUGCUACACAGUGCCUACAGUGUGCUUACUGUAGCUAAGAAAUCCUCCUCCAGGAGAUUGAUUUGUGCAAAUGGAAUCAUUCUGUGGCAGAUGGAAAUGAUAUGCUCAAAACAGCAUCCCACCCCCAUUGGUAAAUGAUCCUCUUACAUGUGCGAAUUCAUUAUCUCUGCAGGGGCAAUGCGGAAUUGAGCCAUGACAUAAUCCAAGGUUAUCUUUCAGGAGGAGAUGAAGCUGCCUGGCGUAAUGUAUUGAUUGAUGAAGAUAGAGCAUCUACAAAUGAAUAUAUGAUCUGCUCAAAUUAAAAGAAAAUUCAAUUCACAGGCUAAAAUAGCACUGAGAUAGCAUUAAGGAUGAGAUAGAAACCAAAGAGUCAGGAAAUUCUGCAGUAAAAAGCAUGCCCUGUCUUAUCUGCAACUUUUCUGGCUGUUGUAACUUUAGGCCAUAAAUGCAAUUAUUCAGCUAUAAUUUUCAUGUGUGUCCCCAUUUUUUCAUUUGUGAGACAAUAUUUUAGAAAGCAUAUUUUUAGGAUGAACUGUGUCAGCAUAAGAUCAUUACUUCUGGUAAACAGAGCAUAAUGCAUUUAAUAUAUUCUUGACUUGCAGAAUAUGUACCUGUGGGUGUUUUGUUUUGUUUUGUUUUUUAAUGUAUUUAAUAAUAUUUUGGUAUUAAGUCAUUACACAAAAGAAGAAAAAUAGAAAUGCCUUUUGCAGAAGAUAACUCUUCAUAAUAUUUAGAUAACCACAAGUGCUUAUUUGUUUAACCACUCUGUAUAUACACGGAUCAUGCAUUCACCAUGCCAGUCCACUACUCACAGAAACAGUGUUUUGGUUUCAGAGGAUGCAUUAUUGAAUAAACUGUUUAUGGUUCACAUGGUGAACAAAGUGUUUUAAAUGGAAAUUCAUAGCUUUAAAUUAAGUGUGAAAUUUUAAAAAGGGGAAAAAUUACUUAUUCUGUAUCUAAUCUUUCUAAGAGUUUCAGCAGUCGAAUGCACUCAUGCACACACAGCUGCACAAAACCACUCCAUUUUAUCUUUACUGUGGAUAGAAUGUUUUGAUUAGAACCUUUCCCUGCCUGAGACUGAGAGCCUAUCGGUGGGGUUACUCCAGCAGUGAGGGCCAAAUAGGACACAGAUGUCAGCUGUGCAUCUGUCCACAGGCAGGGAGCCAGGCCUGCUGGCCUUGCUGAAUGGCCAUGGCCUUGGCCAGAGCCCACUUCAGACUUUUGCCAUCACUUCCUGAAACAAUGUGCGAUGUGACAAGGGAUUUCACGUUCUCCAGAUGGAGCAGACUGGAGAGCUGAACUCUGAGGACUGCUCUAAUCAUGGCUGUAGAUGUUGUUUUGAAGCACUGACUCGGUCUCUUUGUUUCUUCCUCUGUAUUUUUAACAUAUACAUUGGCAUGCAGUCAUGUUAUUGCAUACAGGGGCAAAGACAAGACUCCAGGAUGUUUUUAUGACCUCUCUGAAACUCCUAUUGGACAGAAGAGUAACAUGCCUGGUACAGCAAGGACAUUCAACAUCAAAAUACCAAGAAUUUUUUGAAGAUUGAGAAUGUAUUGGAAUGUGUUUGUAUGUUAGGCAUUGCAUUUUUUCUGGUGAAGAAUUGCGUCUCACUUCCUCUAUUUUUAUCUCUUGAACAUCUGUUGAAUCUAAACUGCAUUAGAUAUCCUGCUCACUCUAAAGUAGGUCAAAGAUAUGUCAGGCCUCGGAAGACUUUAGGGAUUGGGGUAAGAAUGUCCUCCCCCAGGUCAGUUAUGCCUGGGCAUGUUACAGAGAGCCUGUUCUAUCUGAGAAAACUAUGCUGGAGCAAAUAUCUUGCCAGUGAUGAAGGAGCUGAAUCGUAGCAGAAUGUAGGACCGUCAUGGGUUUGUCUCUUUGUUUUGCUUUGUUUUCCUGUAAGUAGUGAUUUUUUUUUUUUUUUCCGGAAGUGUUUCAAUUCAGAAUUUCUUACCUCUUAAAAAACAGGUCUUAGAAUGUACAAUUCUGCACACUCUGCUGUGUUGGUGAAAGGGAUUUCAUGAUAGAAAAGUAAUACUAUUAUUAUUACUAUUUUGGUUAUCUGCAUAAAAGUGACUAUGGAUUUAAUGUUGUCAAAAAAGCAGCUGUUCCGAGUGUAUAUGCCCAUUAUACUAAUUAUAUUUCUGCCCAAACUAAUGAUGUUUUAGUGACAUUUUUACUCUGAUGUGAGAGCUCUAACACUUUCAUGAAUUAUAACAGCAAUAAUAAAAAUUAAAAUCCUUUUCUUUACACAACUGUAUAAGUCAGGACCAUUAAAUUUCAGCCAGUGUUCACGAUGCUUAAAGGUGAUCCUAUUCUCAUUUACAUAGUUAGGGGUCCUUUAGAAUCAGGUGACUUUUAUUGAAAUUCCCUUAAGGAUGUGGAUACAAUGGUUAAUCAACUUAUACCACAGUUUCUUUCAAUAGACACAUUAUGAAUUUGCUUACUGCACUAUUUCAUAUAAAAUAUGUGUUAACUUGGUUUGGAACUUGAUGAUCCUUGAGAUCCCUUCCAACCCAAGCCAUCCUAUGAUUAACCCAUAGAAACUGCUGUGUAGCUGCCGGAAAAAUGCACUUCAACCUAAAAGUGACAUUGAAUAGCAAGACAAAAGUUGAGAAUGGAUUUGAAGUGACAGGCAAAGCUCAAAUAUAUGUCAAUCAGAUACCAGGAUUUUAUGAAAGAGCACUACUUGCAUAAACGAGAUCGAAGCCCCCUGACAUUAAAUGCAGCCCUGCAUGGGCAUGAAACAGUCCCCGCCUCAAGAAGAAAUUAAGCACCUAUUUCUCAUCGUUUCCAGAGGAGGUGGGUAUUGAAGCCCUUUCAGAAAGUUUGGCCCUGGAUUUUGUAGGGCUGACUUCUGUAGUGAUCACAUUGUUUCAAAGAAGGCAGAAAACUGCUUAUCCUGAAAUGAACACAGGAACACACCCUGGCACAGUUACCUAUUACCAGCUCCAACAAAUCAGACUCCGCACUGCAACAUGAGCAUAAUACUUAGUGAUGAUAUUCCCAGCUCCUAUUUGGACUCUGAGGUAGGAUUUAUGCAAACUAACCACAGAUGCUGAAAACCUGAAGUCCCCAGUGAGUAAGCCAUGGAAAAAUGAGUUGUGAAAAAGAGGCACUUCAGUGUAUAGCACAUCUUACCCAAAACUAGAAAUCCAAAAUAGGUCAGAUGAGUUUCCAUCUUACAAUCAGGUCUAUCUAUGUGUUAAAAUUAGUUACACUCUCGGUAACGUUGACCCCAGCUUGGUACCAACUGGAUGUCAGAGUGCCCUAGUGUUCCUUGUGAAUCUGCUUCAAAGGAAUUUAAACUACUUAAGGGCCAAUUUAAUAUUGAUUCCAUAAAUAUACUGCCCAUUACUCAUUACAAGUAAUUCUGUAUAUGUACAGAAAUCUGCGUUAGUAAGGUCUUAAAUGGACAGUAACAUAAAGCUGCUUUUCUCAGCUAAUGAGCGAUAGGUUGGUUGAUGAGGUUUUUCUUCCUUUGGUUUCUUUUGUUUGUUCUUAAUACCUAUAUCUAUUCUAUUUUAAGGUAGACAGUACACUCUUUGAGUGCUAUGAACUAAAAGACCUAAAGAGUGAGGAGAACAAUCAGCAGCCCAUUGUUUUCAAACUUUUUAUCCAGUCACAUGCUAAUAACAUAUGUGUCACUGCAGCGCUAUUAAAGAAGGGAGCUCCACACACCCUUUCACCCUGCUGUCUAUCCACACUGUUGGUCACUGUGACACCUGUUUUUUACCUGUCCAGCAGCACUGGACAACUGAGAACCCCAGAUUACAUACCUAGGCCCUCAGUUUGCUCAUUGCCCUCUGGAACCCAGUAGAGACCCCAUGAGUGCCAGAGCAGGGAGCUGCCUUGAGCUAUAAAUUAGGAAACACUGCUGAGGCUUGUGCCCUGUGUUACACUGGGGAAGUCUUAAAUGUGGCCACCCCAUAGUGCAGGGAUGCUUCUUGCUGGUCAACAGGCUGCAGAACUUUUGGAGACCCAGCCCAGAGAAGUUUCCCAAAACCAGAUACCCAUAGGUCUUGUUGAGUAACUGAGUCUCGUUCUCAUAUCCUGUUUUCAAACAGCGGCAGAGGAAUAGCAUUUGUGCUAUUCAAACACGAUCUUGCUUAUGGUGCAGUCCCUGGAGAAGGCAUUAGAUGCAGGUGUUCCCCUUUAAAACAUCAUAAUCUGCUUCCUUCUUUGAUUUCCCAUCUUACUGAUUAGGAUAUUCGCCUGAAAUAUUUGGAAAAGGGGCUUUCCUGCUCAGACGAGUAUAAACCUGGGUCAUCCACUUGCUGGAAAGAAGCCUCAGCAGUACCACCAUUACAUGGAAAACAACCAUCACAAGCCCUUUCUUUUCCAAAGUCCUAAAGGCAAAGGGAACUAUAACUGCAUUUUAACAAGGAAACUUACCCAGAGACUUUCCAUUCACUCCAGUAACAUCUACAGGCUGGAGAAACUGCACAAGGACUUGUCACAUUCUGGCUCAGUUAGACAGACGUGGCCAUACUGUAGCUCUUUAUAGGUGCUGAGAGCUUCAUCCACCUGGAAAAGUGUCUCAGCAUGUCAGGCAAACACAAAAGUAGGUGCAAGGAAGUGAAGCUUUUUGAGCUUGCAGCUUUGGUCUGGUGCAGAGCUAUAGUAUCUUUUAGAUUUGGCUCAAAGUCAAAAAAAAAUGUUUUAGUUCCUGAUUUGUAUUCCAUUAUAGCCAGCUCCCAGCAACAAAAUCCUCACUAGCUUUAACUAGAGAAGGCUAAACUCUUGUGCAAUCUUCCACUAAUUGAAGGGAACUGGCAAGCAGGAGGGAGAUUGACUUUUUACAAGGUCUGAUAGCAACAGGACAAGGGGAGAUGGCUUUAGACUAAAAGAGGGGAGAUUUAGGUUAGAUGUUUGGAAGAAAGUUUUUGUUUAAAGGGUGGUGAGGCGCUGGCACAGGCUGCCCAGAGAGCUGUGGGUGCCCAUCUCUGGAGGUGCUCAAAGCCAGUGGGGAUGGGGCCCUGGGCAGUUGAGCUGGUGGGUGGCAGCCCUGCCAAUGGCAGGGGGUUGGAACUAGAUGAUCUUUAAGGCCCAUCCAACCUAAGCCAUUCUGCGAUCUUAUGAUUCUGAUUAUUGCUGCGUAUUUCAGUGUGUUUACACUGUGGGCGACCUUACUUCACAGUCUCAGGGAGGGAAAACAGCACAUUUACUCUGAGCUGCCAUUAGCAGAAACGCAUACUGGACAGGAUAAUAUUUUCCAAACCGGGCUUUCUUAGAGUCUAAAUAAAUAACAAAUAAAAUCAGCAGAUCCCUUUGUUGUGUGAAACUGGAAUGGAAAAGAAAGCAGCCCAACUGGUGACUGUUACGUUUGGUCUCUCUGGAGUCAUUAUGCCUGAGGAAAAAAUAAAGAAAAGCCCUAUCAAAACCAGAGCUGCCUAAUGGUCUUUGGGUUACAUUGCUUACAAAGAGAGAUAUGAAUCACUGUUGUUUUACUACCCGUGAAUUGGACCAUUAGUUUUAAAACCUUAUAGAACAGUUAAAUAACACUCUUUUGUUUUUUGUGUUUUUUUUUAAUGAAAACUAAUCUAACAAAUAACAUUGCAUUGUGUGAUAAAAUAAGCUAAGAAUCAUACAUUUAAAAGGAAAGAGGAACAACACAAAUUUGUAGAAACAGAAAAAAUACUGAAAUUUCUGAAGUUCUUUAGCUCAUAAAGAGUAAAGGUAGGAAUGAUCUUUUCAUUCUCUUUAUUGACAUGAUCUCAUGAAAAAAAAGAAAGGGAUCAGAACAGUAUGGUCUAUCUUUAGAGACAUCUAUUUCAUUUUGCCUUGUAUGGAAAAGCUGAACAGAAGGGGAGGAUCCUGGCUGCUGUCAUUGAAGUUUCAAUCAGAGUAAGAGUGAAUAAAAGCACAGCUGCCAGAAAUGAUACACUGAUGCCUAAAGUCUAAAGUCCAAAUAUUUCAUUUUCUCAUUAAAAUGUGUUUUUAUUGCCAGUGGAUGUAAAUAGGCUGGGAGGUUCAUUUCUUCCUGUCUGGAGAAAUGAACAAUGGGAAACAUCACUUCAGUAUCAGAAGCAAUAUAAAUAAAGCAAAGAUUCAAUCUGACUGCUGCAGAUAGCACAUUGGUGCUGGUCCAUAGUUCACUGACACUGCACAGGGGCUGAAACUUGGAAAGUUCUCGGUAGAAUUCCCAGCAGAAAUGCCUUAAAUGCAAAAGACUUGUCUGUAAAUCAGAAUUAUCACAGUAUUUUCAAUGUCCUCAUGUUUCAGCUUUCCAAAAUGUGGAGUAAACAUAUAGAUCAUAGUCAGUGCAUGUUUACCUGAUUUUUAUUUUUAUUUUAUUUUUUUUAGGAGCUUGUGUAACUAAGUUAACCAUAGAAAUGUGUGACUGAUACAAGCCCAAACACAAUAAAAAUCCUACUGCUGCUUAAAUGGUCAAAUUUGGCCAAGCUAAUUUAAGGUUAAUCUCUGUUUUUAUUCUACAAUAAACCCCUCAGGGGUGAUCUUUAAAUGGUUGCAAAAUGAAUUGCCUGGCUGAACUAUUGGCCUGCCCCACAGGGAUUGAAGGUUGGGACUGCUCUUCCCAUUGGCCACAUCCAGAACAGGACCGAGGUGUCUCUGAGCUAACUUCACUGCCUUGGAUCUAACAACCAGCUCCUAGCUGAGAACACAGAAUUAGAUGCCUGCAAUCAUUACUGAGGGAGAAUUAUGUGACUCAGACUGGCAAUCUAAUCAAGCCUACAGGCUGAGCUCCUAGGGGCAGGAAGCAAGCAAAUGUUUCCAAGUUUCUUCACACUCCAUUCUUUUUUAACUUAUUCAGGUUUUAUGAAACAGCUCCAUACAGGGUCACCAGCAAACCUUUUACUGGUGGAUGCUCAGAGCCUUUGAAAAACUGCAUGUUUUCACUGUGACAGCCUGCUGGCAGUAGUUCACUUCCACUCACAGGUGGGAUGGAAGCUGCCACCAGACCUGCUCUAGGCCAGCACAGCCAUGGGACACACACCCCACACAAACACUGGAAAGCUGUAGUUCAAGACUUAUGGAUUGAUCAUCCCCGUACAGGUCAUGCACCUAAAGCAGGUGCCAGUUGGUUCUAAUGAACCUCUCUGAAAAGAAAUGUCACUUCAAGUACUUGAGGAAAAAAAUGAGAGAAGUAUGACUAAAGAUGUUUUAGUGUUGUUUAAAUUCAUCAUUUUAUCUAGCUCAAGGUCUCUAAAUACACUGUUUGCCUUUUGUCCUGAGCAUCUGUUUCUUUAUUUUGUGAGGUAAAACAAGCUACCUGGUCUAAGAAUACCUCAACUGAUUCAUCUUCAAGAUGGAAGAUGUAUCUCCCUUGCAUGGCAGGCAUGAAAGAUUCUAACUGGAAAGCUCUCUAAUAUAGCGAUGUAUGUCAAGUACUUAGACAAAUGGCCCAUGUUUGUCUUUGUGACCUUAGAUCAAAAGCUACACAAUUAUCCCCCUAGAAUGAAUGCUUGUUUUUGUUUCUUGUCUUAGGAAGAGAGAUGGGAGAAGAAACAGGGGGUGUGGGGGGGGGGAAGAAUUCUAAUUUUUAUAUAUUUAAGGUCUUUUCUCAUAAUAUUUUGUUUUUCUUCCAAAACAUUUUCGUGGCCCUCCUCCAAACUGAGGGUAUGGGAAGAAUGAAUUGAAAGAAGAGGAACAAACUAUAAUGAAGACGCUAAUGAAAAACAUUAAGCAUGAUUUUAAUUCCACAUUCCCAAGGCAUGAAUCGAUAUUUACAUUUCACUGACCUCGGUGAAUACUCACAUCAAAGGACACAAGCUUUUAAGUCAGGUAUUUAUUGCAGUUUCUUUCCUUUCAAAAUGUUGGGAGAAUUCUCUUCACAUCUUAUACAAGAAUGAUAGAUGGUAGGAACAAAAUAAAACUUGGGAAGUUGUUUGAAAUUCCAAAAUUCAGUGGGAUAAAAAACAGCCAAAUAAAAAAUUAACUAAACUUCUUGUAGCCAGAACUCAGAUAUUUUCUCAGUAGAGGCAGCAAUGACAUAACCUUGUCAGCUUGAAGCAAGUUACUAAAGCAUUUCACCUCCAGUACUCCUUCAACUACCUGUUUUGUGAACAAAGACUGUAUUAUGUUCUCUCUCUCCACACGCCCCUACCUACCUCCUUUUCCUUAUACCCUUCAGCUCCUGUAUGACACUCAGUCAUAGAAACUGUUGCAGUCUUCCCUGAACAAUUUGCUAUUCCAGUUCCAGCAGAACAAACAGCAAAUUCAUAGUCACAUGACAGUCAGAGAGGACCUCACUGGAGCCAGAACUGAGUCAUCCUACACUUAGAUAAAUAAGAAGUCAUCCAACACUAAGUCUAACCAUACCCCACAGUCAUGAGUAGGUAGGUAUAAACAAAGCAAAAGUGGUCAUCACAGGCAGCACCACCUGCUUGAUCUAUGUGGAUUUAUUAAUACAGAAUCUCACCUAGGACCCCCCAGACAGCUUCCAUUUCUACUAAAAGUUAAAGUUUAAGCUAGCUCAAAGCUUUCUCAGGGUCUGUUGAGUACCGCAGAUGUGCCUGGUGAGGUCUGAUGGCCUUACUUCAAAGUGAAGCCCAGAGCAGUUGAGCUUAGCUAAACAGUUACCAAGCAAAAGUCAUCUUGCUCUGUUGUGCAUAAGGUUGUUCUAAAUAUUAUUUUCACUACUUCUUAAACUCUACUAAAAGGGAAAACAUUCUCUUGACGAUAAUCCUUUGGCUCAGCCAGUCAGGAAAUAAUGUGCUUUGAGUAUUGCUAGGCUAUGCUAAGUAACAUUUAUAAUCUAGGUCUUCAUUCAUUAAGUCUGUGGGUUUUGCUUUAUUGCAUUUUAUUUUAUUUUAUUUUAUUUAUAGAAAGGAACUACACGCUUUUAUAAUUCAUAGACUUACAAAUAAUUUAUAAAAUUAUUUUCUAUUUUAAAGCCCACCUCAUGGCAUAUAAAAAUAUUUCUUCAUGAUUUUGAAAAGUUACUAUUUUCUCAUAACGAGAAAAUCAUAGUUUGGUAGGAAAAUUCUUAGUGAUUAAGACUAAUUUUCAAAGUUCUGUGUCACGAAAUCUGUUCCUUAUUUAUUUCAGUUUGAUUUAAAGAUUUUUAUCAGACUGUUCAUUCAUCUUGUGUCUGUCUGAAGCCGUACAUUUAACUUAAUGAAAAAUUUCUAUCUCAUGUACUAUCCCAAUUUUGGGUCAGCCUUUUUCACAUCUACCUGGAGCAGGGUUCUGGCUAACAGAUUACGUGAUCCUCACCUGAGAUAACUUUUUGGCACCCCAAGGGCAUGAAAGAAACUAUGGAUACCACUGGAAGACCCUCAUCUGUGUUUUUAUUGAUGGUGCAUUUAAGCAAAACAAAGCAUGAACGUUUAUGCUCUACAGAAGGCCAUGAAUCUGGCUUUCCCCCAUGAUAACUUUUCUAGUUUUAAUAUAUAAAGAAACCCCAUUAUCUUGAACUUUAACACAAGGAUGUUUGAAUUAGGUGAUUCAUAUAUUGCAGAAUUCUAUUUUAGAUGUUUCAGUUCCUGUUUAGAUUUGGUUAAACUUAGCCUCACAUUGGCACUGGGGAACAUUACCAAAUUAUUUGAAUCAAGAACUGUUUAUUCAAGCAUUUUCCAGUUUGAAGAGCAAGGAAAAGCUCUGUAUACGCUGGGUGUGUCUAUCUCCCUGUCCCUUCUGGAAAGGAGAGAAGGAAGGGGAAAUCAAAAGGACUAAAAAAAGUACAAGAAGGGUAAAUUAGUUACUUGAUAUAACCCAUGUCACUGUAUCACUGACAUUUUCCAGUUCCUCCUGCUUGUCUGUAGUCCCUUGACCGCCGAAGAACACACAGUGAUAGUAGCAUGUUACUUACAGUUGAUGAAAAGCAUUAAGUUUGGUUAUUAUGCUUUCUAUUGACAUUUACCCAGCAAAGAGCAGACUGGAGAAUGACAUAGCCCAAAAGCACUAACGCAUUGUAUUGAUAAAAGUACUUCAAAUGCACACUGAAAAAUCAAUCCAUUGCUUUAGUGACUGAUGUCUGCUUCUUUUGCAGUUUUCACUGCCCUCAAAUGUACUAAUUAGGUUAUAUGUUGCUAUGAUGCUUGAAAAUGUUUGUGCUGAAUGGCUUUGUGGCUUCAUAAAUCAUCAAGCAUUAAAAAAGCCCCACUCAUAUUAAGAAAUCUGCAGUAAAAUGCUAUCACAAAGCUCAAACAGAAAAUAUUCAAGACUGAUAAUUUGUCUUGAUUCUUCCAACUGAAAGAAUUGGCAAAACCAGUGGGUCCUCAGUACUGAAGGUCCGGACAGUAAAAGGAACUGCAAUCAGAAUCGUCACACACACAGUGUCAAAAUGCUGUCUGUCAGACACCCUAAAAUAGUACAAGUGGUUCAAAAAGAAUUAAGAAAUGCAAUAGAAAGCACAGUUGAGUGUUUUGUAUCUUUUGCUUCUGUUUUCAAGGCGAGUACACUCUGAGCACUUAGAGUGUCAUGGAUCUAUGUUGACAGGUAUUUACAAGACCUGAAAGCAGGGACUUUUAAAGAUCUACUUGUUACGACAAGAUCCACAGGACAGUUAUAAAAGGUAGCAACCUUGGAUCCUUGCGUUUCAGUCACAUCUGAAUAAUUAUUUUGCUCUAUGAUUUUGUAUAAGUUUUCCAUUUCCAAAGGAUGGAAGGAUUAAGAUUAAAUACGGAAUAUCUGUGAAUGGUAAUAAACUCAGCAUGAGUCUGAAGAGUCAUACAAAGCAUGUCCAAAAAAAUGUGAGUCAGAAAUUUUAAUAUCAGAGGAAAUAGUUCAUUCAGGCUUAACCUAAAACAUGGAAAAGUAAUUUUUCUAGAUAGAUCUUUGAAAUAUAGAGAUAAAUAUGGUGCCUUUAUUUUUUUCUCCAGAAUAUAGACUAACAGAUGUUAAAAAUGGAAACAUGAAAUGGAAUGAACACAAAGCAUUCAAAGAAAACAGAUUAAAUGAAAAGGUCUCAGUAAAGAGGACAGGAGGAAAAAAAGAAGGAAAAAUGUGCAAUUGAUCACAAAAGGAAAAACAAAAUGUGUACUGUAAUUAAAGUGUCAAGACAGCUAUUUGAUCUUAAUUGCAAAUAAUUUCUCUGUGUUUAGCAGCUCUUCCAAGGCUGUAACAAAUAUGGCUGUUCUCUAGAUUACGAAUGUUUUCACCAUUUAACACAGACAUUUCUGCCAAGUGUCUAGAAUUCUGCAAUCACAGCCUUUUAGAAACUAAAGUAGCAGAUGUGUUCCAGCAGUCAAGGAUUGCAGGAACUGUGAUACGCUUUCUAGAAUAAAGCUGAAAACAGAUUUAAGAGCAGUUGAAAAGUAGCAUUUUACUUGAAUGUAGGUCAAGAAUCCAUAAAGAACUGUUUCGUUUUCUUUGAGUAUAUUACCCUAUUAUCUCUUCCUUUGGUUUUGGACUCUAUAAUUUUGACCUGUUUUCCUAGUAGUUGAUUUAUUUCUACAGUAUACUAUUUCUGACCAGUGGGGCAACAACAGUUUUAACAUGAAGAUUUUUUCAGAGUUCUUCACUGGUGAUCCAUAGAGUCUACAACACUCAGUUUAUUUCAUUGUCCUUUUGCACUGUAGUUCUGCAGUAUUCAGAGCCUGGAUAUAAGAGCAAAAGCAAUGUCAACAA